AUUGAACGCUGGCGGCAGGCCUAACACAUGCAAGUCGAGCGAGUGGCGGACGGGUGAGUAAUGUAUGGGAAACUGCCCGAUAGAGGGGGAUAACUACUGGAAACGGUGGCUAAUACCGCCUACUAUCAGAUUAACCCAUAUGGGAUUCGCUAGUAGGUGGGGUAAAGGCUCACCUAGGCGACGAUCCCUAGCUGGUCUGAGAGGAUGAUCAGCCACACUGGACCUGAGACACUGCCCAGACUCGUACGGGAGGCAGCAGUGGGGAAUAUUGCACAAUGGGCGCAAGCCUGAUGCAGCCAUGCAGCGUGUAUGAAGAAGGCCUUAGGGUUGUAAAGUACUUUCAGCGGGGAGGCGUUACCCGCAGAAGAAGCACCGGCUAACUCCGUGCCAGCAGCCGCGGUAAUUC
rnacentral:rRNA from 1 species